rnacentral:rRNA from 1 species
CCGGCGACCGGCGCACGGGUGAGUAACACGUAUGCAACCUGCCCGUUUCAGCGGGAUAACCCGGAGAAAUCCGGCCUAAUACCGCAUGUGGCCGAGGGGAGGCAUCUUCUUUCGGCCAAAGGAGGCGACUCCGGAGACGGAUGGGCAUGCGUGACAUUAGCUAGUUGGCGGGGUAACGGCCCACCAAGGCGACGAUGCGUAGGGGUUCUGAGAGGAAGGUCCCCCACAUUGGAACUGAGACACGGUCCAAACUCCUACGGAAGGCAGCAG